AGGGGCCGGGGCGCUGCUUCCUGUUGUCAGUGGCCGAGAGACCGCAUCGUCGGCUCGGAGGCUGAGGGGCUGCCGCAGCCGGGAGCCCCCCUCGCCUCGCUCCUCGCUCCGCUUGGUGUCAUGUGAUUCUCUGAGGGAGCAGCUGCGUGAGUGGAGAUGCUUUCAGUGGUGGAGAAUGGACUGGACCCCCAGGCUGCCAUCCCGGUCAUCAAGAAGAAGCUGGUGGGAUCCGUGAAAGCCUUGCAAAAGCAGUACGUGUCCCUGGACAUGGUGGUCACUAGUGAAGACGGAGAUGCCAACACCAUGUGCAGCGCCCUGGAGGCCGUAUUUAUCCAUGGCCUGCACACCAAGCACAUCCGAGCUGAGGCCGGAGGAAAAAGGAAGAAAAGUGCCCACCAGAAGCCUCUGCCCCAGCCUGUCUUCUGGCCCCUCCUGAAAGCUGUCACCCCCAAACACAUCAUCUCAGAGUUGGAGCACCUGACGUUUGUCAACAUGGAUGUGGGCCGCUGCCGGGCAUGGCUGCGGCUGGCCCUGAACAAUGGCCUGAUGGAGUGCUACCUGAAGCUGCUGCUGCAGGAGCAGGCCCGCUUGCAACUACAGCGGAAGGAAUCUCUGGAUUCCAUUUCCCAUUCUUCAGGCUCUGAAGACAUCGAAGUCCAUCACUCGGGCCAUAAGAUACGGAGGAACCAGAAGCCGACUGCCUCCUCCCUCAGCCUGGACACGGCCAGUUCAUCCCAGCUGUCCUGCAGCCUAAACUCUGAUAGCUGCUUACUCCAAGAGAAUGGCUCCAAGAGUCCAGACCAUUGCGAGGAGCCCAUGUCCUAUGACUCAGACCUGGGCACAGCAAAUGCUGAGGACUCAGACCAGUCUCUGCAAGAAAAAACAAGAGCUGGAUCUCAGAGGAUGACUUCUACCGGCCUUCCCGGGAGCAACCCCUGAAGAGUGCUUCAGACCACCCAAUAGCUUCUUACAGGGGGACUCCAGAGUCAAGGCCUGGUCUCCACAGGCAUUUUUCUCAAGAACCAAGAAAAAACUGCUCCCUGGGGGCGUUAGACCAAGCGUGUGUACCUUCCCCAGGAAGAAGGCAAGCCCAGGCAGCCCCAUCCCAGGGGCAUAAGAGUUUCCAGGUGGUACACCGGAGGCAGAUGGGACUGUCCAACCCAUUCCAGGGUCUCAUGAAGCUGGGCACCGUGGAGCGGCAGGGGGCAAUGGGCAUCUGGAAGGAGCUCUUCUGCGAGCUCUCCCCACUGGAGUUCCGCCUCUACCUGAGCAACGAGGAGCACACCUGUGUGGAGAACUGCUCCCUGCUUCGCUGUGAGUCUGUGGGGCCAGCCCACAGUGACGGGCGCUUUGAGCUGGUCUUCUCUGGCAAGAAGCUGGCCCUGCGCGCCUCCUCCCAGGACGAAGCUGAGGACUGGCUGGACCUGGUGCGGGAGGCCCUGCAGAAGGUCCGGCCUCAGCAGGAGGAUGAGUGGGUGAACGUGCAGUACUCAGACCAGCCUGAGGAACCCCCCGAGGCGCCCCAGGGCUGCCUCUCUCCCUCAGACCUGCUCUCGGAGCCCGCGGCCCUCCAGGGCACACAGUCUGACUGGUCGUCCGCCCAGGUUCCAGAGCUAGAUGCCAUCAAGGAGUCCCUGCUGUACUUGUACAUGGACAGGACCUGGAUGCCCUAUAUAUUUUCUCUGCCCUUGGAGGCUCUGAAAUGUUUCCGCAUCAGGAACAAUGAGAAGAUGCUGAGUGACAGCCACGGCGUGGAGACCAUCCGGGACAUCCUGCCAGACACCAGCCUUGGGGGCCCAUCCUUCUUCAAAAUCAUCACGGCCAAGGCUGUCCUGAAGCUGCAGGCCGGAAACGCCGAGGAAGCCGCCCUGUGGAGGGAUCUGGUCCGCAAAGUCCUGGCAUCCUACUUGGAGACAGCCGAGGAGGCGGUGACCCUGGGCGGGAGCCUGGAUGAAAACUGUCAGGAGGUGCUGAAAUUUGCCACCCGGGAGAAUGGCUUCCUGCUGCAGUACCUGGUGGCCAUCCCCAUGGAGAAAGGCCUUGACUCCCAAGGCUGCUUCUGCGCAGGCUGCUCCCGGCAGAUCGGCUUCUCCUUUGUACGACCCAAGCUCUGUGCCUUCUCUGGCCUCUAUUACUGUGACAUCUGCCACCAAGACGAUGCCUCAGUGAUUCCGGCCAGGAUCAUCCACAACUGGGACCUCACCAAGCGCCCGAUCUGCAGGCAGGCCCUGAAGUUUCUGACGCAGAUCCGGGCCCAGCCCCUCAUCAACCUGCAGAUGGUGAACGCGUCUCUGUACGAGCAUGUGGAGCGGAUGCACCUCAUUGGGAGGAGCCGGGAGCAGCUGAAGCUCCUGGGGGAUUACCUGGGCCUGUGCCGGAGUGGCGCCCUGAAGGAGCUCAGCAAGAGGCUCAACCACCGGAAUUAUCUCUUGGAGUCUCCGCAUAGGUUCCGUGUUGCUGACCUCCGGCAGGUGAGAGUGUCAUGCCUACCCCGCCCAGAACUCUAGAAAGACUUCAUUCCUGGAGAAGUCAGCAAGGAAGAUGGGAGAGAGGGUGUCUGUAGUUUACUGAAGAAGACAGCAGUCUGCAGCUUUUCUGCAGCUCAGGAUCGCAGAUGAGGUAUAUGAAGGAUUCCUCAAGGCCCUGAUUGAAUUUGCCUCCCAGCAUGUCUACCACUGCGACCUGUGCACCCAGCGCAGCUUCAUCUGCCAGAUCUGCCAGCACCACGACAUCAUCUUCCCCUCUGAGUUUGACACCACAGUCAGGUGUGCCAAGUGCAAGACCGUCUUCCACCAGAGCUGCCAGGCUGUGGUGAAGAAGGGCUGCCCCCGCUGUGCUCGCUGACGCAAGUACCAGCAACAGAACGUUUUCGCCUGAUGCCCCUCUGCUGAUCCCACUCUGAAGGCCGGGGGUGAGUGUGGCUCAGCCAUCCCAGCUGGGUUUCCUAUCAGCCCAGGAUACUCACCGUGUCACAGCUGUGUCCCCUUGUCAGGAAGACCUCAGAUGUGACCAGAGCACUGGCCUCCUACAGAAAGCCCAGGAAGUCCCCAUGAUGUCCCCUGGCCCUCCCCCCACCCCUCUGCUGCAGGAGGCGUGGCCACCACCAGAUGCUCCCUGUCUGGGGCAGGCAGGGCCGUUUACUCACCAGGCCCUGGCUCACCAGCGUCCCGGCGCCUCCGUUAGGGCUGGCCAAACACUGUGGAAAGGGGACUUGGGGAACAUUUUCAAUUCCACAUUCCUGAUUAAAAGGUCUGGUUUUUUAAGGUGGGUUUUUCCCAUUCAUAUUUCAA
rnacentral:lncRNA from 1 species